rnacentral:lncRNA from 1 species
GGUGCCCACCAGCUGAGGACGGAGCCAUUUCCUUUGGCCCUGGUGGAGGAGUUCUCGAGUUCCCUGGUAAGGAGGGUGUGGAAGUUAUGACAUAAUUACACUCUGUUUUCCUGGUUGCUGUUGUGGACAUAGUAAUGAUGCAGUCACCCUUUCGGCGAACAGUACAUGCUUCAUUCAAAGAGUGGAUCUCAUCAUCUUACCUGUUGUCUUUAUGGAGUUGAGAUCAGUUGAUGCCUGGGAGCUGGAUGUGGUGGCCCAGGAGCAGCACCCAUUAACAGAAGCCGUUCCAUCUGGUGUGGCCUGGGGUGCAUUCACUCAUCUACUUCUGAACCAGAGUUUCUUAGCCUUCUCAUCUAGGGUUUAAUGAAGGUGGAGGUCCCAAGCCUUGUGCUCCUUGUCAUUCCAUUCAGGGGCUGGCUGGAGGAGGGGAAUCCUUGAUGACAGGAAAAGGACAUCACUUGUCCAUGGAAGGCAGGAGGGAGGAGACUUUCUUCACGCACAAAUGCCUCAUUCUUCUCCAUAGCACCAGGGUUUCUGGCUGUGGGCAAGAACUGCCUGAGAAGCAGCAUGAGGCCCAAGAUGGAACUAUGGUGCAAAUUGAGAAGCUCACACUGGCUGUCCAGGCCUCCAUCCCUCUGUGUAUGGAGAAGUCCAGCCUGAUGUUCUCUCUGAGGUUCUUCCUGUUUUCGCUCAUGUUCUCUAAGGAGAGAAUGUCAGGGGCUAUGAGAGAGGGAGGAGAAGCCAGGCUUCCAUGGGGGAGGACAGUG